rnacentral:rRNA from 1 species
GAUGAACGCUAGCGGCAGGCCUAAUACAUGCAAGUCGAACGGGAUCCAGAUCAAAGCUUGCUUUGGUUUGGUGAGAGUGGCGCACGGGUGCGUAACGCGUGAGCAACCUACCCUUGUCAGGGGGAUAGCCCGGCGAAAGUCGGAUUAAUACCGCAUGACAUCAUUGAGAGGCAUCUUUCGAUGAUCAAAGAUUUAUCGGACAAGGAUGGGCUCGCGUGACAUUAGCUAGUUGGUAAGGUAACGGCUUACCAAGGCUACGAUGUCUAGGGGCUCUGAGAGGAGAAUCCCCCACACUGGUACUGAGACACGGACCAGACUCCUACGGGAGGCAGCAGUAAGGAAUAUUGGUCAAUGGACGGAAGUCUGAACCAGCCAUGCCGCGUGCAGGAAGACGGCCCUAUGGGUUGUAAACUGCUUUUAUACGGGAACAAACGUCGGUACGGGUACCAGUCUGAGUGUACCGUAAGAAUAAGGAUCGGCUAACUCCGUG